ensembl:rRNA 5S_rRNA 5S ribosomal RNA
GCUUACGGCCAUACCAACCUGGCUAUGCCCGAUCUCGUUUGAUCUCCGAAGCUAAGCAGGUUUGGGCUUGGUUAGUACUUGGAUGGGAGACCGCCUGGGAAUAUCAGGUGCUGUAAGCU